rnacentral:misc_RNA from 1 species
AAAUUCUUCUCCGUUGACCCUUACCGAAUUCUUGUCCUCUUCAUUUAAGUCCACCCCUGCACCUUCGUUUUUUUUACGCUUCUCUUCCUUUGAAAAACCACCCCUAUGCGCGGACUCCAACCCGAACUCAAAUCCAAUUUAAAUAACCAUUUCAAACCCGACACCCGUGUUUCAAUAAAACUCGUGAGAUAGACGACACUUUCCCUUUACCUAAAAACAACCUAAUCCACGCUUUUCCACCACUUUCCAUAUCCAACUGCCGAGUACAUAUACUUCUUUCUUUUUGUCUAACAAAUUUAUUGUUUUUUCCUACGGGAGAUAGAGGGAGAGUGGAACAGUCACCGGCGAAUUUUAGUACGGUGACGUUGAUGGCGGUUGCCGAACGGCGAAAUCCUCACAGCGAUAAGAAGAUGUUUAGUCUUUGUCCUUUUUGGCAGAGCGGAACGACGAACUCCUCGUCUUCCUCUUCCACGCAUAAUCUCAACCAUAAUCAUGACGGCAACAGCAAUAACCGGCACCUGGAGGUUAAGAAUAGCUCCAAAUCUUCAUCGUCUUCGACGACGGUAUCGACUGUUGCCAGAUCUCUUCUCCCUG